CACUGGCAUCCUUUCACUUACUGUAAUUUUUUCCUCUUUUACCUAUCUUUUUAUGAAAAAGGAAAAGAAACUCAAAUUAUUAAUUUGGCAUAUAACAUCCAUAAAUAAUGGCACUAAUAUCUUUAGACGCAUAGAAAACUUAGGACCCAUUUGUCCAUAGAUCUUUUUUUUUUGUUUCUAUUUUCCGAAUUUAAAAAAA
rnacentral:lncRNA from 1 species